rnacentral:rRNA from 1 species
GAUGAACGCUGACAGAAUGCUUAACACAUGCAAGUCUACUUGAACUUCGGUUUGGGUGGCGGACGGGUGAGUAACGCGUAAAGAACUUGCCUCACAGUUAGGGACAACAUUUGGAAACGAAUGCUAAUACCUGAUAUUAUGAUUUUAGGGCAUCCUAGGAUUAUGAAAGCUAUAUGUGCUGUGAGAGAGCUUUGCGUCCCAUUAGCUAGUUGGAGAGGUAACGGCUCACCAAGGCGAUGAUGGGUAGCCGGCCUGAGAGGGUGAACGGCCACAAGGGGACUGAGACACGGCCCUUACUCCUACGGGCGGCAGCAGUGGGGAAUAUUGGACAAUGGACCAAAAGUCUGAUCCAGCAAUUCUGUGUGCACGAUGACGUUUUUCGGAAUGUAAAGUGCUUUCAGUUGGGAAGAAAAAAAUGACGGUACCAACAGAAGAAGUGACGGCUAAAUACGUG